rnacentral:lncRNA from 1 species
AGGGUAAAAGCCAGACCUAGUGCAUUAUGGUACAGUAAAAAUAGCAGAAGGAGCUGGCUGGAAUGAUCUUGAAGAAGAAAUGAAGCACUCGGUGGCUCUGCCCUUCUGCGUCCCUCGGAAACGGCAGCCGGCUUUAUUUGCGCGCCGGUUUCGUUGUUGAUUUGUUGCCGCUAUACAAUAUUCGGUUAAUUGUGGACGGGCUCAAGCUGUGCUCAUCCCUGCGAAGGCUGCCGCGGCUGCACGGUGCUCACAGGAGCAGGCUCGUUUCUCCGGGACCCGCCAGCUCCACAGCCUGGCACCAGCAGGCGACGGGACGCGGCGCUCGGGAGGUGAGCAGGCGGCGUCGCGGGCUCAGCUGGGACCAGGUAAAGUGUUGGGGGGACAACUUGCUGUGG